GUCUCGAGUGUCAGCGUCAAGCCCCGGCUCGCUGGCCGGCAACCCUCGUAAUCGCGGUGGGGUGCCCCGGGUGGUGACGAGGCCCAUCGGGCAAGCGC
rnacentral:ncRNA from 1 species